rnacentral:rRNA from 1 species
AACGAACGCUGGCGGCGUGCUUAACACAUGCAAGUCGAACGCGAAAGGGACUUCGGUCCUGAGUAAAGUGGCGCACGGGUGAGUAACGCGUAGAUAACCUGUCUUCACGUCUGGAAUAAUACGCCGAAAGGGGUACUAAUACCGGAUAUUCUUGCUUUUCAUAAGUUUUGCAAGGAAAGGUGGCCUCUGAAUAUGCUACUGCGCGAAGAGGGGUCUGCGUACCAUUAGCUAGUAGGUGGGGUAAUGGCCUACCUAGGCUACGAUGGCUAGCGGGUCUGAGAGGAUGAUCCGCCACACUGGCACUGGAACACGGGCCAGACUCCUACGGGAGGCAGCAGUGAGGAAUAUUGCGCAAUGGGGGAAACCCUGACGCAGCGACGCCGCGUGAGUGAGGAAGGCCUUCGGGUCGUAAAGCUCUGUCAAAGGGAAAGAAGUGCAUGAUGGCUAAUACCUGUCAUGUUUGACGGUACCCUUAAAGGAAGCACCGGCUAACUCCGUGCCAGCAGCCGCAGUAAAAC